GACGAACGCUGGCGGCGUGCUUAACACCUGCAAGUCGAACGAUGAAGAAGAGCUUGCACUUCGGAUUAGUGGCGAACGGGUGAGUAACACGUGACUAACCUGCCCCUUUCUCUGGGAUAACGCUCCGAAAGGAGUGCUAAUACCGGAUACUCACAUCGAGGCACAUGCCUUGAUGUGGAAAGUUUUUCGGAAAGGGAUGGAGUCGCGGCCUAUCAGCUUGUUGGUGAGGUAACGGCUCACCAAGGCGACGACGGGUAGCCGGCCUGAGGGGGCGACCGGCCACACUGGGACUGAGACACGGCCCAGACUCCUACGGGAGGCAGCAGUGGGGAAUAUUGCACAAUGGGCGAAAGCCUGAUGCAGCGACGCCGCGUAAGGGAUGAAGGUCUUCGGAUUGUAAACCUCUUUCAGUAGGGACGAAGCGAAAGUGACGGUACCUAAAGAAGAAGCACCGGCUAACUACGUGCCAGCCGCCGCCGUAA
rnacentral:rRNA from 1 species